rnacentral:rRNA from 1 species
UGAAUGGAGGACCGAACCGACUUACGUUGAAAAGUGAGCGGAUGAACUGAGGGUAGCGGAGAAAUUCCAAUCGAACCUGGAGAUAGCUGGUUCUCUCCGAAAUAGCUUUAGGGCUAGCCUCAAGUGAUGAUUAUUGGAGGUAGAGCACUGUUUGGACGAGGGGCCCCUCUCGGGUUACCGAAUUCAGACAAACUCCGAAUGCCAAUUAAUUUAACUUGGGAGUCAGAACAUGGGUGAUAAGGUCCGUGUUCGAAAGGGAAACAGCCCAGACCACCAGCUAAGGUCCCAAAAUAUAUGUUAAGUGGAAAAGGAUGUGGCGUUGCCCAGACAACUAGGAUGUUGGCUUAGAAGCAGCCAUCAUUUAAAGAGUGCGUAAUAGCUCACUAGUCGAGUGACACUGCGCCGAAAAUGUACCGGGGCUAAACAUAUUACCGAAGCUGUGGAUUGUCCUUUGGACAAUGGUAGGAGAGCGUUCUAAGGGCGUUGAAGCAUGAUCGUAAGGACAUGUGGAGCGCUUAGAAGUGAGAAUGCCGGUGUGAGUAGCGAAAGACGGGUGAGAAUCCCGUCCACCGAUUGACUGAGGUUUCCAGAGGAAGGCUCGUCCGCUCUGGGUUAGUCGGGUCCUAAGCUGAGGCCGACAGGCGUAGGCGAUGGAUAACAGGUUGAUAUUCCUGUACCACCUAUAAUCGUUUUAAUCGAUGGGGGGACGCAGUAGGAUAGGCGAAGCGUGCGAUUGGAUUGCACGUCUAA